AACGAACGCUGGCGGCAUGCCUAACACAUGCAAGUCGAACGAGACCUUCGGGUCUUUUGGCGCACGGGUGCGUAACGCGUGGGAACAUUCCCUCAUGUUUGGACUAACUCUCCGAAUGGGGUGCUAAUACGGGAUCAUGUCUUCUGCCCGAAAAUUUAUCGCCCUUGGUUGGGCGCUCGUUGAAUUAGCUUGUUGUUAGGGUAAUAGCCUACCAAGGCGACGAUCCGUAGCUGGUAUGAGAGGAUGGUCAGCCACACUGGGAGUGAGACACGGCCUAGAAUCCUACGGGAGGCAGCAGUGGGGAACAUUGGACCGUGGGCGGAAGGCUGAUCCAGCAAUGACGCGUGAGUGAUGAAAGUCUUAGGGUUGUAAAGCUCUUUUACCCGGGAUGAUAAUGACAGUACCGGGAGAAUAAGCUCCGGCUAACUACGUG
rnacentral:rRNA from 1 species